rnacentral:rRNA from 1 species
AGUGAACGCUGGCGGUAGGCCUAACACAUGCAAGUCGAACGGCAGCACAGUAAGAGCUUGCUCUUACGGGUGGCGAGUGGCGGACGGGUGAGGAAUACAUCGGAAUCUACUUUUUCGUGGGGGAUAACGUAGGGAAACUUACGCUAAUACCGCAUACGACCUACGGGUGAAAGCAGGGGAUCUUCGGACCUUGCGCGAUUGAAUGAGCCGAUGUCGGAUUAGCUAGUUGGCGGGGUAAAGGCCCACCAAGGCGACGAGCCGUAGCUGGUCUGAGAGGAUGAGAGGGCAGAAGGGAAUGACGAGACGGGCGAGACGCCGACGGGAUGCAGCAGGAGGGAAGAGUAAGAAAUGGGCGAAAGACUGACGGAGCAAUGCGGCGGGAGUGAGGAAGGGCUGCGGAUCGUAAAACUCUUGUAUUAGGGAAGAAAAAAUGGGUAAGUAACGAGGAACGGCUUGAGGGUACGGAAUCAGAAAGCCACGGCUAACUACGUG